UACGGAGGGUGCAAGCGUUAAUCGGAAUUACUGGGUGUAAAGCGAGUGCAGGCGGCUUCGUGUGUCGGGUGUGAAAGCCCCCGGCUUAACCUGGGAAUUGCAUCCGAAACUGCGUAACUAGAAUAUGGUAGAGGAAGACGGAAUUCCACGUGUAGCGGUGAAAUGCGUAGAUAUGUGGAGGAACACCAAUGGCGAAGGCAGUCUUCUGGGCCAAUAUUGACGCUGAGGCGCGAAAGCGUGGGUAGCAAACAGG
rnacentral:rRNA from 1 species